UAUAGAUGUAGAUAUAGCUAUCUUAUAAAUACCUAAUAUAUUAUAAAUACCUAAGUUCCUAAUAUAGAUCUCACCCAUUUCCAAAUGUAAAUCACUUUUAGUUUUCAGACAGGGACUAGUUAGAAAGAUUGAAGUCUAACACGAAGGAACUGGGCACAACAGUCCUUCAAAAUUAUAACUCAAGUUUCCUGUACAGUCAGUGACAAGAUGAAGUCCUUUGAAAAGUCUAGAAGGGGUUUUGCUCAGAUAUUUAAUUUGUACAGAUACAAUCCUUAUUUCCCUUAAGAUUUUGAAAGACACCUCUAUCUCUGUAAGAAAUUUGCAUGAAAGUAGGAAAACUGGUUCACUAGGGGCUGCCUUAGUCAAAGUAUGUCAAAGGCACAAGUCUUGGUGCUGCAAAACAUCCUCACAAGGUGCCCAUCAGUUAUAAGAGCUCUGCACUCCCCCAUUAAUAGUACAAACUGGUUGCAGUCAGACACAUUUGACCUCUGACAGCCCCUCGGGCCUGAAAACAAACUUGUUGCUGCUACAGCUCCUCUCUGGAGUGACAGCAAACACAACGAGGGGUCCUUUUCAGCCCUGUCUGCUUGGGUAAGCACAUUAUAGAUCACAAAUACCAGCAGUCUGACCUUCAUUCCGAGUCAGUAGACUAUGAAGCCACUAGGCUUUAGGAGCUCUCAAAGGCAAGAAUAGCUCCUGAUUGGAGAUAAUAAAGACAUGAGAGGGAUAGUUUCACAGUAAGCAAAAUAUAUGAAGCCCUUUAGAUCCUAGUGCGCAGCAGCUUUUAUUAAUCUGACAUUAAAUUUCUUUAUUCAGUGUUUUAUGUGGUGAGAAGUCCUGCACCAUGUAAAUAAAGCUGGCUCUAGCUGGAGAGUAGUUACAGACUACCUCCUUUUUUGUAUGUCCUCCUUUUUUUUUGGCUGGACUAGAGUUAAUUUUUCUCUCAGUAGCUGGUAUAGUGCUGUGGGGUUUUUGAUUCAUCAUGAGAAUAAUGUUGAUAACUGAGUGAUGUUUUAAUUUUUGUGAAGAAGUGCUUACGCUGAGUCAAGGAGUUUCAAGUUUCCCAUGCUCUGCUAGGGAGGGACUGCACAAGAGGCUGGAAAUUUGAAAUCUUUCAACUGUUCUUAUCUCAACCCACAGGUUUUACCUUUUCUUUUUUUUUCCCAGUUAUCUCUGCUAUCCCGCGGGGAGCCGAGGGAGUGAGCGAGCAGCUUCAUGGGAUUUAGCUGCUGGCUGGGGUUAAGCCAUGGCAUGGAGUGACAGCCCCAUAUUGCCUCAGUGCCUACUGACAGACUAUGAAUUUACCUCCCCAGGGCUGGCUCUAGCAGUGACAGGCUGUUUGCAGGAAAUGCUAAAUGUUCUGCUGCUGCCAGAUAAGGAUGAGUACAACACAGACUCUCUUUUCAAGCCAGAGCCCCAGCCAACACCUGUAGAAAGGCAUCCACAGCUCAGCAGCAGCACAGCAGCCCCUCUGCGAGCUUGGCUUAUCUGUGAAGUCCCUAAACAACUGGGGGGACUCUCUCCCAACGAGCUCAGCUUCCCACCUGGUACAGAAACACUGCGUUUUCCCACUGUGAGGAAAGCACAUUUUCAAGGUUUGGCUGCCUCAGAGGACAUCUGCUUUGACUUGAAUCACAGCUCAGACCUCCUGCAGGGACUUGACAAAGAAGCAAAACCUGGACUGAUGCUGGCUCAUAUUCCUUUAAUUCCUUCCCCUUACUGUAGUGAAAAAGGAUCCAAUAAUCUGAAGCUAUGAGACUUACUGGGGCAGGAAAUCCUGCAAGGAAAAGAAAGUACAGAUAAUGAGCCCAAAACUACAUUUUAUUUAUGAACAUUAUUAGAAGCAAUAAAAAAUCCCAAUUAGAUUUUUACUUAAAAAUAUAUUAGACACUGACACUUAUCCAAAACUUGCUACAGAAACAUGAGCUCAGCCACAGUUUCAUUUGAAAUUACUAAUUUCACAGGUUUUAAAAAUAUAAAUCACCAUGAUGAUAUCACAGUCAUAAAUCCUAGUGAAAUUGUAUUUUACAUCUUUCACAUUAAAACCAUAAAUUUGCUUCUUCAAGUAUUCAUUUUGUGAGAUUUCUGUAUUUAAUAUCUGAAAUGAAUUUACUGCUUUAUCAAUGGGAUUUGGUGUGUACUGAAGGAUUGCAGACAUUCUUUGUUUACCUUUACUUGCUUUUGUUUACCUUUUUCACCGAUCUCAUUUCAGGACUUCAAGAACACAACAUGCUAUUGCAAAAUCCUUCACCAGGCUGCUGGGAGCCUGCUGCUUGUAACAGGCAUUGCUUACAGCCUCCAUCUCUUUGUCUUACCACAAGCUCACAUAUUAAAUUUGUGGGCUGUAGAUAUGCCCAUGGUUUAUUGCACUGAAAUCCUCAGCUUCCUUUGAUGGCACCCUGGCUGAUCCAAGAUGCUUGGCCAGAGGCAGGAAGUGGUGUGGCAUGGCUCACAGUCUGUGCCAGUGGCCUGGAGCCACAACACACACCCCAGGCACACCUCUUCCUCACAGCCAGCACCAAAAAGGGACAGCAAUAACUGCUAACAGGAGCUGACACAAUUUAUACAGACUCAGGCCUGGGAAGAUGCUACAACUGCUAAAAGAGAGAGCUGGUACCAUUAUCACCUGACAUGGUGUAAUAGCAAAGCACUCAAACACUAUACUCAUGAAAUGUAUGCUGACCUGAAACAACAAAAGAGCUGGCUCCAGCAUACUCAGUGCUUCCUCUGAGAAAUGCUACUCAUUCUUCUCCCUCAAAUAUAUCAGAGCCUGCACUAAAUGAAAUUCCCAGUGAAGUCAGGAUGCCCCAGAGCGGCCUCCAAGCCAGCUGUGAUCCCUUCUUGUUGCAAAGGGCUUCGGAGAAACCCCAGUGAAGGACAAAUAUUUGCUCUCUGUUGAGUCUAUUGUCACAUCUGAUGUUGAAAAAAGUCACUAUAAGGUAUCUCCCAAAGCAAGAAAUGCAAACCUUCCCUACCAGAGUGAAAACAUUUGAAACACAAAACCAGUAACCUACCACAAAUACCAUAAGCAAAAUGCAGCUCUGUAAGAACAGAAAUCCUGGCAGAGAUGACCCACAGACUUUAUACCAUUGGCAAGCUACAUUAUUGCUUUAUUGCCAACUGAUUACUUUUUGAGCAGCUUCACCAAAUCACACAUAUAACAUGCUUUUGGCACCACACUUUGUCUUUAUUCAAAACUCCUAAGUGGUCAAUAUUGUUCUUCUAAAUGUAAUAAACAUUCAGAUGAUUUAAUGAA